rnacentral:tRNA from 1 species
UGUUUUAUUAGUAUAAAAAGUACGUCUGCUUUCCAAGCAGAGGGUCUCUACAAGGAGAUAUUGCAA